rnacentral:misc_RNA from 1 species
UCUCCGUAGGUGAACCUGCGGAGGGAUCAUUACUGAGUGAGGGAUUCGGUCCGACCUCAAACCAUUUGUGAACCAAACUUGUUGCUUCGGGGGCGACCCUGCCGCUUCGGCGGUGCGGCGCCCCCUGAGGCCAUUAAACACUGCAUCAUUGCGUCGGAGUUAAAGUAAAUUAAACAAAACUUUCAACAACGGAGCUCUUGGUUCCAGCAUCGAUGAAGAACGCAGC